rnacentral:rRNA from 1 species
UGGGGAAUCUUGCGCAAUGGGCGAAAGCCUGACGCAGCAACGCCGCGUGGAGGAUGAAGGCCCUUGGGUUGUAAACUCCUGUCGGCUGGGAAGAAAUCGUUCGGGGUUAAUACCCCCGGACGUUGACUGUACCAGCAAAGGAAGCCCCGGCUAACUCUGUGCCAGCAGCCGCGGUAAUACAGAGGGGGCCAGCGUUAUUCGGAAUUAUUGGGCGUAAAGGGCGCGUAGGCGGCCUUGCGUGUCUUCCGUGAAAUCCCUCGGCUUAACCGAGGACGUGCGGAAGAAACUGCGAGGCUCGAGUCCGGGAGAGGGGGGUGGAAUUCCCAGUGUAGCGGUGAAAUGCGUAGAUAUUGGGAGGAACACCGGUGGCGAAGGCGGCCCCCUGGACCGGUACUGACGCUGAGGCGCGAAAGCGUGGGUAGCAAACGGGAUUAGAUACCCCGGUAGUCCACGCCGUAAACGAUGGGCACUUGGUGUCGCGGGUAUCGACCCCUGCGGUGCCGAAGCUAACGCAUUAAGUGCCCCGCCUGGGGAGUACGGUCGCAAGGCUGA